rnacentral:rRNA from 1 species
CCUACGGGAGGCAGCAGUGGGGAAUAUUGGUCAAUGGGCGCAAGCCUGACCCAGCAACGCCGCGUGAAGGAAGACGGCUUUCGGGUUGUAAACUUCUUUUUUCAGGGACGAAGCAAGUGACAGUACCUGACGAAUAAGCCACGGCUAAAUACGUGCCAGCAGCCGGUGUAAUUCGUAGGUGGCAAGCGUUAUCCGGAUUUACUGGGUGUAAAGGGGGUGUUGGCGGGAGUGCAAGUCAGAUGGGAACACCAUGGGGUUAACCUGUGCCGUGCAUUUGAAACUGUAGGUCUUGAGUACUGGCGAGGUAGAUGGAAUUCGUAGUGUAGCGGUGAAAUGCGUAGAUAUUAGGAGGAACACCAGUGGCGAAGGCGGUGUGCCGGACAGCAACUGACGCUGAGGCGCGAAAGCGCGGGGAGCAAACAGGAUUAGAUACCCCAGUAGUC